rnacentral:ncRNA from 1 species
UGUUUAUCUCAGGGCAGGGUGAAAGUCCCUACCGGCGGUAACAUGAAAUGGUCUGAUGAUGAUUUUAUGCAGCCCGCGAGCGCUCUGUUUGUGGUUAUUCUUAACGAAAUAAAACAGAGGUCAGCAGAUCCAGUGUAAUUCUGGAGCCGACGGUGAAAGUCCGGAUGGGAGAGAAUAACA